CUGUUGUAUGAAAGGCGGGAGGUUAAACUUCCCUUGACGAGGAAGGAUGCGAGAGGACCUCAGCCUAAACAAGAAACACGUGGCUAAGGCAUCGGCACUCUGUGCUCUCACCCUGGAUUUUCC